GGCGAGGCCUCGCGGGGAAGGGCGCGCGGCGGCUCCGCGGGCGCGGUGUCUGCGCACCGCGUAGGGCCGGGGGCAGCGAUACCUCCCCCCCCAAAAUGGCAGCGAGAGGCCACAGGCAGCUGCGUUUCGUAAGGGGAGCGGGAAAAUCCAGGAGAGCCCCCCCCCCUCGCGUGUCGGCUGGGAGUCGGCGGAGAAGCCGCGGAGGCCCUCGGCAAAGCUGUCGCUGUGACAGGGGCCGCGCGAGGAGGUGGAGGGUUACGUGUGGGCGCUCGGUAACGGUCUCUGAGAGGACGUUGGUCGGGGAUGAGCCGGGCUCAUCUGCUGGGCCAGCAGAGCCGCGGGCUGCCCUCCAGGCAGAGGGCGAAAGCGCCUAAAUAGCUGCUGCUGAAAUUGCGAUAUUUCUAAUCCUCCGCAGAGCCGUGGCGCCCCGUAAACGGUGAUACUGGUGAAAUAUAUGUUAAGGAACAGUUUCAGGUUGUACCAGAGAAAUGCUCACAUCGGAGCAUGGGUCACAACUCCUCAGCGUGGCCCAGCGAAGCCUCUCACGGCUUCUUUAGCGACUGGCUAUGGGGAAAGCACCACGUCUUUGCAGAGUUGCGGCACGUCCGGCUUYGUUGUUGCUGUCACACUCAGAACAGCCGAGGUUGGACGGCACCUCUGGAGCCCGCCCGGCCCAAGCCCUGAUCCCGCAGCCCCGGCUCCAGCUGGCCUUCGAGCAUCUCCACGGAUGGGGCCUCCACGGCCUCUCCGGGCGGCCUGUGCCCGCGUUCAGCCGCCCUCGCAGCGAAGAUGUGUUUCCUUGCGUUCAAGCGGGAGGGCUCCGCGAGCUGCCCCUCCUCGGAGGGACGCGCGGGGCCAGAUCCCGCCUGGGCCACGAGGACAACGGGGACGGCAGCGCCGGCAGGCGGACAAGCGGCAGAGGGGAGGCGCACGCCGCCCCCGCGCCCCCCGGAACCUCUCCCUCCGGGCCCCGCUCGCCACCCGGAGCCUUCGCACGGGCGCACAGC
rnacentral:lncRNA from 1 species